GGAAACUUGUAUAAAAUACAAAUCUGCGAGGAUCAAUGACUGGUAACUACAGGGUAAAUAUAAACAUGAUUCUGUACAUGAGAUGCCAACAAAUUCAGCUACUAAGGUUUUAUAUAAAAUAUACAAACAAAUGCAAUAACCUACACAGCUAUCCAAUUGCCAAAACAAAGACCAAGUCAUAAAUUACAAUGAGGAUGAUUGUUAAUCCUUUCUGAUUCUUUUUCUUCCCUCUUCCCUUUCUUGAGAGUGCAAAAGGCAGUUGUGAUAAGGACUUGAAAAUAUUUCAACACUAAACUCAAAGACACAUGCAUACCUCGGCUAAUUUUAGCACCAAAUCUAAACUUCAAGAUACUUAACAAGGUGAAAAAACUACUUACUAAAUCUGCCUGACACCUUCACAC
rnacentral:misc_RNA from 1 species